rnacentral:rRNA from 1 species
CCUACGGGAGGCAGCAGUGGGGAAUAUUGCGCAAUGGGCGAAAGCCUGACGCAGCGACGCCGCGUGAGGGAUGAAGGUCUUCGGAUCGCAAACCUCUGUCAGCAGGGAAGAACGGUCACUGUGUUAAUCAGUUGUGAAUUUACGGUACCUGCAAAGGAAGCACCGGCUAAAUCCGUGCCAGCAGCCGCGGUAAUACGGAGGGUGCGAGCGUUAAUCGGAAUUACUGGGCGUAAAGCGCUCGCAGGCGGUAUGUCAAGUCAAGGGUGAAAUCCCCGCGCUCAACGUGGGAACUGCCUUUGAAACUGGCAAACUGGAGUGUGUGAGAGGAUAGUGGAAGUCCAGGUGUAGGGGUGAAAUCCGUAGAUAUCUGGAGGAACAUCAGUGGCGAAGGCGACUAUCUGGCACAUAACUGACGCUGAGGAGCGAAAGCGUGGGUAGCAAACAGGAUUAGAUACCCCGGUAGUC